UUUCAUUACAACGACCAUUAAAUUUUCUUAAGAUAGAAAAAUGAUCAGAAAAAACUUGGUGCUGCUUGCUAAAUUUUCAUUACAACGACCAUUAAAUUUUCUUAAGAUAGAAAAAUAAUCAGAUAUUAGCAACAGUAAGUAUGGCUCCAAGGAAUCCUUUUUACCACUCAAUAGACGUUUUCGAUUAUGCAAUCGACAUGAACUUGAAGGCUAUCAUUUCCCCAGUUCUUUUGUUCUUCUUGUAUUUGCUUUGCCAAAGUCACAGCUGAGGUUAGUGUCAUCGAAGUCAAUGAUUUGAAGAGUUGGUAAAUCUACAAUACUACAAGGAAUCUCUUCUAGUUUGAAACAUUCUCUAAUAAUUAGGCGCUAAAGGCCUGGGAAGUGAGUGUUGUCAGCUCUCCAUUGCGUGAGAUCUAUUUUGAUUUGCAAUAUCCUCCUUCGGUUAGCUUCCAUUCUGGCCCAUCAAAGGCGUUAUAUCGCAGUUUGAGCACUUCAAGAUUGGCCAUAGAACCAACAAUAGUCAUAUAUAUUUCCAAGGAAUUCUGCAACGCUCUAAAGUUAACGUUUCGAUAUUUGGUGGGAAAGUGAAAUUCAUGGGGAUGCUAAAACAUUCAUUUUCACUUCUGAUUUUCAGGUUCUCGAUUUGAGGAAGAUUAACCAUAGUACCUAGAGAAAAGGGUGAUAUUUUCCAAUGUUCAUUAAAGAUUCCUAACUUUACUAGAUUUGGAACUCUUUCAGAGACCUCCUUGUUACAGCUGGCACUACCCACUUUCGACAAUGUUAAAAGGUUUCCUAGAACGAAAUUCUCCCCAUCUAUUAGUGAUCUAGCAGGGCAUGGAAAAUAACACAUCCUGAACAGGAGAUGCCUUAAUUGUGGCAUUCUUCAUAUUUCCUAUGUUAGAUGUACUUUUUUUCACAUUCUACUAUUAAGGUCCGUAGAUACCAAAGAAAAUCAGGUAAUAUUUUAGGUAUGGAAAUUUUCCCGUCGCAGGAGAAAGAAAGGUACCGUGCGUGAACUAAUUUUAGGGUAAUUGGCACAAAAUAUUUCUACAUUUCAAGUUUAUUGUGGAAAACGUACAUACCUAUUUUUUAGCUUUUUCACCCCUACCUUUCACCUUUCUUUGCGCAGAAUGUCCUUUUCAUCAAUUUUUCACUAUUUUACCCCUCCAUUCAAAUAAAACAAAAAGAAAAGAAACAAAAAAGAAGUAAUUGCAACCAUAGUCCUAAGUUUUGAACAAAUUACAAAUCAGUCACACUUUAUUAUGAACUGAAAAAUUUUAAAAUUAUCCAAACAGAUAGAGAAAAAAAACUUGAAGGUGCAGGAAAAUUAUCAAGAAAUGGAGAAAUUUUUGAAUCACAGCCAAUGAAAAUGAAUAUUUUUCAGUUCACAAUAAAUUGUGACUAAUUUAUAAUUUUUUUUAAAAAAAAAUUGGGGUUAUGGUUGCAAUUAAUUCUUUAUUUUUUCUUUUCUUUUCUUUUUGUUUUAUUUGAAUGGAGGGUAAAAUCGUCAAAAGGACCUUUUAUGGAAAGAAAUGUGGAAGGUACGGGCGAAAAUGCCAAAAAUGAAAGAUAUGGACGUUUUUCACAAUAAACUUGAAAGGUAUGGACGUUUUGCGCCAAUUACCCUUGUUUCUUCACUUGGGAAACUAUCUACAUUUCCUUUACCAAGACCCAACACCUUGAGCAGUAAGAAAAUAUUUAUGUCACCUGAAUAAUAAAUUUCUCUAAUCGA
rnacentral:lncRNA from 1 species